GACGAACGCUGGCGGCGUGCUUAACACAUGCAAGUCGAACGGAAAGGCCCUGCUUGCAGGGUACUCGAGUGGCGAACGGGUGAGUAACACGUGGGUGAUCUGCCCUGCACUUCGGGAUAAGCCUGGGAAACUGGGUCUAAUACCGGAUAGGAGCCACUUUUAGUGUGAUGGUUGGAAAGUUUUUUCGGUGUAGGAUGAGCUCGCGGCCUAUCAGCUUGUUGGUGGGGUAAUGGCCUACCAAGGCGGCGACGGGUAGCCGGCCUGAGAGGGUGGACGGCCACAUUGGGACUGAGAGACGGCACAGACUCCUACGGGAGGCAGCAGGGGGGAAUAUUGCACAAUGGGCGCAAGCCUGAUGCAGCGACGCCGCGUGGGGGAUGACGGCCUUCGGGUUGUAAACAACUUUCGCGAGGGACGAAGCUUUUUGUGACGGUACCUAGAUAAGAAGCACCGGCUAACUACGUG
rnacentral:rRNA from 1 species